AUAAAAUAACACUCUUUCCUCAUUUUAAAACCUUAUCCAUACACUCCACACAGAAAAGAAAAAUUAUAUUUUGACGAAAGGGUUGCUCGAAUGGUAAGCAUCCUCCAUCUCCACCUCCACCUCCAACCCCGUGGCCGUGGUUUCGAAUCACCGAAAGCAAAAAGGGUGGGAGGUUAAAAAGACAAAUCUUUUUUUCUCUUUUUGGUCAAUAACUGUAACCAACAUGGUCCAAAA
rnacentral:misc_RNA from 1 species